ACGGGUGAGUAACACGUAUCCAACCUGCCGUCUACUCUUGGACAGCCUUCUGAAAGGAAGAUUAAUACAAGAUGGCAUCAUGAGUCCGCAUGUUCACAUGAUUAAAGGUAUUUCCGGUAGACGAUGGGGAUGCGUUCCAUUAGAUAGUAGGCGGGGUAACGGCCCACCUAGUCUUCGAUGGAUAGGGGUUCUGAGAGGAAGGUCCCCCACAUUGGAACUGAGACACGGUCCAA
rnacentral:rRNA from 1 species